UUCACUUUCUUGGCUCGAGUUGCGGACAUGCUCCUCGUCGCCGCCGCCGGCGGCCCCUCCCCUCCGACUUCAGCAGCCAGGCGGCCGCGCGCCCGUCCCGCAGGCCGCACCGAGGCUCCGCCAGGGACGCGCCUGGCACUCAAUAGCUGAAGUCACUGAGCUCAUUGCUAAGGAUUCUCUACCGGCCCUGUGGACUGCUUCUGAAAUCAUUCCUACAUGUCCUCCAUGCACAGGUCCUGGAGAACUUCUGGACAGCUGAACACGAAGAGGCUCCUGGAGGGUGACCCAGCAGGGAGGAUGUGGAGGCUCUGUGCCGCUUUACCACAUCAUGCCCUGUACAUCUCUUCAUCUGUGUCCUAGAUAACAAACC